rnacentral:rRNA from 1 species
AGAGUUCGAUUAUGGCUCAGGAUGAACGCUGGCGGCGUGCUUAACACAUGCAAGUCGAACGGGAAAUGCUUCAUUGAGGCUUCGGCGGAUUUGAUUCAUUUCUAGUGGCGGACGGGUGAGUAACGCGUGGGUAACCUGCCUUGUACUGGGGGAUAACAGCCAGAAAUGGCUGCUAAUACCGCAUAAGCGCACGGAGGCGCAUGCCUCUGUGUGAAAAACUCCGGUGGUAUAAGAUGGACCCGCGUUGGAUUAGCUAGUUGGCAGGGCAGCGGCCUACCAAGGCAACGAUCCAUAGCCGGCCUGAGAGGGUGAACGGCCACAUUGGGACUGAGACACGGCCCAG